GAUGAACGCUGACAGAAUGCUUAACACAUGCCAGUCUUUGGCGAAGCUGUGCUUGCACAGCCUAGCCAAGGCGGACGGGUGAGUAACGCGUCAGGAACUUGCCCUGCAGUCAGGGAUAACAGACGGAAACGACUGAUAAGACCUGGUAAAGUCAGGCGGACUCAUGUCCAGCCUGAUGAAAAGAGAUGCUGCAGGAGAGCCUUGCGUCCUAUUAGCUUGUUGGUGGGGUAACGGCCCACCAAGGCGAUGAUAGGUAGCCGGCCUGAGAGGGUGGACGGCCACAAGGGGACUGAGAUACGGCCCUUACUCCUACGGGAGGCAGCAGUGGGGAAUAUUGGACAAUGGGGGCAACCCUGAUCCAGCAAUUCUGUGUGCACGAUGAAGGUUUUCGGAUUGUAAAGUGCUUUCAGCAGGGAAGAAAAAAAGGACGGUACCUGCAGAAGAAGCGACGGCUAAAUACGU
rnacentral:rRNA from 1 species